rnacentral:rRNA from 1 species
AAGGUUGAAAGGUCCGUUUGGACCCACUAAUGGAUGAGGGUGCGGCGUAUUAGCUUGUUGGUGGGUAAAUGGCCUACCCAAGGCGAUGAUACGUAGCCGACCUGAGAGGGUGAUCGGCCACAUCGGGACUGAGACACGGCCCGAACUCCUACGGGAGGCAGCAGUAGGGAAUUUUUCACAAUGGGCGAAAGCCUGAUGGAGCAAUGCCGCGUGACUGAAGACGGUCUUCGGAUUGUAAAGGUCUGUUGUAAGGGAAGAACAGCAAAUAUAGGAAAUGCUAUUUGUUUGACGGUACCUUACCAGAAAGCCACGGCUAACUAUGUGCCAGCAGCCGCGGUAAUACAUAGGUGGCAAGCGUUAUCCGGAUUUAUUGGGCGUAAAGCGUGCGCAGACGGUUUAGCAAGUUUGGGGUUAAAGACUGGGGCUCAACUCCAGUUCGCCUUGAAAACUGUUAGACUAGAGUGUAGGAGAGGUUGAUGGAAUUCCAUGUGUAGCGGUGAAAUGCGUAGAUAUAUGGAGGAACACCAGUGGCGAAGGCGGUCAACUGGCCUAUCACUGACGUUUAGGCACGAAAGCGUGGGGAGCAAAUAGGAUUAGAUACCCUAGUAGUCCACGCCGUAAACGAUGAGUACUAAGUGUCGGACUAAGUUCGGUGCUGCAGCUAACGCAUUAAGUACUCCGCCUGAGUAGUAUGCUCGCA